UGGGGAAUAUUGCACAAUGGGCGCAAGCCUGAUGCAGCCAUGCCGCGUGUGUGAAGAAGGCCUUCGGGUUGUAAAGCACUUUCAGCGGGGAGGAAGGGAGUAAAGUUAAUACCUUUGCUCAUUGACGUUACCCGCAGAAGAAGCACCGGCUAACUCCGUGCCAGCAGCCGCGGUAAUACGGAGGGUGCAAGCGUUAAUCGGAAUUACUGGGCGUAAAGCGCACGCAGGCGGUUUGUUAAGUCAGAUGUGAAAUCCCCGGGCUCAACCUGGGAAAUGCAUCUGAUACUGGCAAGCUUGAGUCUCGUAGAGGGGGGUAGAAUUCCAGGUGUAGCGGUGAAAUGCGUAGAGAUCUGGAGGAAUACCGGUGGCGAAGGCGGCCCCCUGGACGAAGACUGACGCUCAGGUGCGAAAGCGUGGGGAGCAAACAGG
rnacentral:rRNA from 1 species